UACGAGGGGGGCAAGCGUUGUUCGGAAUUAUUGGGCGUAAAGAGCUCGUAGGCGGUCUGUCGCGUCUGCUGUGAAAACUCGGGGCUUAACCCCGGGCCUGCAGUGGGUACGGGCAGACUAGAGUGCGGUAGGGGAGACUGGAAUUCCUGGUGUAGCGGUGAAAUGCGCAGAUAUCAGGAGGAACACCGGUGGCGAAGGCGGGUCUCUGGGCCGUAACUGACGCUGAGGCGCGAAAGCGUGGGGAGCAAACAGG
rnacentral:rRNA from 1 species